GACGAACGCUGGCGGCGUGCCUAAUACAUGCAAGUCGAGCGGAGCACUUCGGUGCUUAGCGGCGGACGGGUGAGUAACACGUAGGCAACCUGCCUGUAAGAUCGGGAUAACUACCGGAAACGGUAGCUAAGACCGAAUAAGUAAGUCUGGUGCAUGCCGGGCUUAAGAAACACGGAGCAAUCUGUGGCUUACAGAUGGGCCUGCGGCGCAUUAGCUAGUAGGUGAGGUAACGGCUCACCUAGGCGACGAUGCGUAGCCGACCUGAGAGGGUGAUCGGCCACACUGGGACUGAGACACGGCCCAGACUCCUACGGGAGGCUG
rnacentral:rRNA from 1 species